CCUACGGGAGGCAGCAGUGGGGGAUAUUGCACAAUGGGGGGAACCCUGAUGCAGCGACGCCGCGUGGGUGAAGAAGUAUUUCGGUAUGUAAAGCCCUAUCGGCAGGGAAGAAAAUGACGGUACCUGAAGAAGAAGCCCCGGCUAACUACGUGCCAGCAGCCGCGGUAAUACGUAGGGGGCAAGCGUUAUCCGGAUUUACUGGGUGUAAAGGGGGCGCAGACGGCGAUGCAAGCCAGGAGUGAAAGCCCGGGGCCCAACCCCGGGACUGCUCUUGGAACUGCGUGGCUGGAGUGCAGGAGGGGCAG
rnacentral:rRNA from 1 species